AGGAUAAACGCUGGCGGCGUGCCUUACGCAUGCAAGUCGAACGGUCCUUUCGGGGACAGUGGCGGACGGGUGAGUAACACGUGCGUGACCUGACACCUGAUGGGGGAUACCCGUCCGAAAGGGCGGCUAAUACCGCAUACGCUCGUGAGGGGUGCUUCAUGAGGAAAGGCGCAAGUCGUCGGGUGAGGGGCGUGCGGCCGAUUAGCUAGUUGGCGGGGUAAGGGCCCACCAAGGCAGUGAUCGGUAGCUGGGCUGAGAGGCCGAACAGCCACACUGGGACUGAGACACGGCCCAGACUCCUACGGGAGGCAGCAGUGGGGAAUAUUGCGCAAUGGGCGAAAGCCUGACGCAGCGACGCCGCGUGUGGGAUGACGGCCUUCGGGUUGUAACCACUGUCGCGAGGGACGAAGAUCUGACGGUACCUCGAAAGGAAGCACCGGCUAACUCUGUGCCAGCAGCCGC
rnacentral:rRNA from 1 species